AGGGCAGACGGUGGAUGCCUUGGCUCUCGGAGGCGAAGAAGGACGUGAUAAGCUGCGAUAAGCUACGGGGAUUGGCACAUACAAAUUGAUCCGUAGAUUUCCGAAUGGGGCAACCCGGCAUGUAGAAGACAUGUCACACUGCAGAGCAGUGAGCGAACGUGGGGAACUGAAACAUCUAAGUACCCAUAGGAGAAGAAAACAAAAGUGAUUCCCUUAGUAGUGGCGAGCGAACGGGGAACAGCCCAAACCAGAUUUGUUUCGGCAAAACUGGGGUUGUAGGACCUCGAUAUAGGAAGACAAGAUUAGGAGAACGGUCUGGAAAGGCCGGCCAUAGAACAUGAUAGCUGUGUAUCCGAAAAUCUUCGUUGGACUUAGAGGUAUCCUGAGUAGCGCGGGACACGUGAAAUCCUGUGUGAAUCUGCGGGGCCCAUCCCGUAAGGCUAAAUACUCCCGAGAGACCGAUAGUGAACCAGUACCGUGAGGGAAAGGUGAAAAGAACCUCGAACAGAGGAGUGCAAUAGAUCCUGAACCCGUCUGCCUACAAGCGGUAGGAGCAGCUUCGAGCUGUGACUGCGUGCCUUUUGCAUAAUGAACCUACGAGUUACUUUCUCUGGCAAGGUUAAGUGAUGAAGAGUCACGUGAGCCGAAGCGAAAGCGAGUCUGAAUAGGGCGCUUUAGUCAGAGGGAGUAGACGCGAAACCAAGUGAUCUACCCUUGGUCAGGUUGAAGGUUGGGUAAAACCAACUGGAGGACCGCACCGGUAAGCGUUGAAAAGCUUUCGGAUGAACUGAGGGUAGGGGUGAAAGGCUAAUCAAACUUGGAGAUAGCUCGUACUCCCCGAAAUGCAUUUAGGUGCAGCCUUAGGAGUUUCUUAUACGAGGUAGAGCGACUGAUUGGAUGCGAGGCUUUCACCGGCUAUCAAGUCCAGACAAACUCCGAAUGCACGUUAAGUAAGAUCCACGGAGUGAGGGCAUGGGUGCUAAGGUCCAUGUCCGAGAGGAGAAGAAUCCAGACCAUCGGCUAAGGUCCCGAAAUAAUAGCUAAGUUGACCAAACGAAGUCAGAGUGCGAAGACAGCUAGGAUGUUGGCUUGGAAGCAGCCAUUCAUUUAAAGAGUGCGUAACAGCUCACUAGUCGAGUGCUUUGGCGUGGAUAAUAAUCGGGCAUAAGCUAUUUACCGAAGCUGUGGGAUGUGUAAACAUCGGUAGGGGAGCAUUCUAGCGGCGCUGAAGGUGAGAGGACAACUCUUGCUGGAGCUUCUAGAAAAGCAAAUGUAGGUAUAAGUAACGAUAAAGGAGGUGAGAAACCUCCUCGCCGAAAGACUAAGGGUUCCUGAUCAACGCUAAUCGGAUCAGGGUUAGUCGGGGCCUAAGGGGAAGCCGAACGGCGCACCCGAUGGAAGAACCGGUUAAUAUUCCGGUACUAAUUAUGUGAGCGAUGUGGAGACGGAGAUGUGACGGUCCUGCCAACUGACGGAAUAGUUGGUUGAAGGGUGUAGGAGUUGAUCUGAGUAGGCAAAUCCGCUCGGAGAUCCGAACCUGACAGUACUCUGAGUGCUUGCACAAGGAGAUAUGGACAACUGUAACGGUGCUCCCAAGAAAAUCCGCUAAGCAUAUUGCAUGAUUACCCGUACCAUAAACCGACACAGGUGGUUGGGUUGAGUAUACUAAGGCGCUCGAGUGAUUCGCGGUUAAGGAACUAGGCAAAAUAGUCCUGUAACUUCGGAAUAAAGGACGCUCACAGUGAAGGCUGUGAGCCGCAGAGAAUAGGCCCAGGCGACUGUUUAACAAAAACACAUGGCUAUGCUAAAUCGAAAGAUACUGUAUAUAGCCUGACACCUGCCCGGUGCUGGAAGGUUAAGAGGAGAUGUCAUCGCAAGAGAAGCAUUGAAUUGAAGCCCCAGUAAACGGCGGCCGUAACUAUAACGGUCCUAAGGUAGCGAAAUUCCUUGUCGGGUAAGUUCCGACCUGCACGAAUGGUGUAACGAUCUGGGUACUGUCUCAACCGCGAGCUCGGUGAAAUUGUAGUAUCGGUGAAGAUGCCGAUUACCCGCAACGGGACGAAAAGACCCCGUGAACCUUUACUAUAGCUUUGCAUUGGAUUUGGGUAACAAAUGUGUAGGAUAGGCCGGAGACUGUGAAUCGGGUACGCCAGUAUUCGUGGAGUCGCCGUUGAAAUACGGCCCUUUUGUUAUUUGGGUUCUAACUCGCGGAUGCGAGGACAUUGCAUGGUGGGUAGUUUGACUGGGGU
rnacentral:rRNA from 1 species